UAUACCUGGAUAGGCCUUUCCCUGUAGAGAGAAAGAGUGAGAACAUGUCCAUUCAUCGUCCAUCCUUCACUUUACAGUAUACGAAACGCAUGCGCGAAAUGAUGUAUUAAAAAUGGCAAACAGUUCGGUUUCACGUAUGUGUCAUGAAUGUAACCUAUAAAAGUGAUUUAUUUAUUUAUCGAUAAACUGACGAUAAGAUGUAAAGUAUGCAGCAGAUAUUGGAAAAAAAUGACAAUACUUCUUUUCAUUCGGAAGUACACACUUAUAAUAAACGGUUAUGGUUAAAAAUGUGAUAAAAGUCACUCUCAGGGCCAAGAUUUUUAUUGUAAUCACAGAAAUCAGCUCAUAAAUCUUAUUGUUUCUACUUACAUAGACAUAAGCUUUCAUCACAUAGCACGUGAAAAUAACGAAAAGCC